UUUCUGUCUCUGCUUAAGCAAUACAGAAUACCCAUGAAGGAGGAUGUUUUGCAAAGUGUAUUAAGCCAUUGAAGGUAAGUGCAUAGACAUCUGUUAAGGUGAUAAUUGGGGAUGUGUCCUCAAAUUCAGUAUAUGUAAAAUAGAUCUCACCUUUGGCCUCAAACAUACCCCAUGCCCUUUAUCUCAUCUCUUUGAAUGGUGUGACCCAAAAGCCUGAACUCUUCCU
rnacentral:lncRNA from 1 species